AGACAGUUCGGUCCCUAUCCGGCGCGGGCGUAGGAUAUUUGAGAGGAGCUGCCCUUAGUACGAGAGGACCGGGGUGGACUGGCCUCUGGUGUAUCUGUUGAGCCAUCAGCUCAUGGCAGAGUAGCCAAGCCGGGACGGGAUAAACGCUGAAGGCAUCUAAGCGUGAAGCCCCCUCAAGAUGAGAUAUCCCAUACGCAAGUAGUAAGACCCCUUGAAGACGACGAGGUAGAUAGGGCAGAGGUGGAAGUGCAGUAAUGCAUGAAGCUGACUGUUACUAAUCGGUCGAGGGCUUAACCAAAA
rnacentral:rRNA from 1 species